UACGUAGGGUGCAAGCGUUGUCCGGAAUUAUUGGGCGUAAAGAGCUCGUAGGCGGUUCGUCGCGUCGGCUGUGAAAUCCCGAGGCUCAACCUCGGGUCUGCAGUCGAUACGGGCGGACUGGAGUUCGGCAGGGGAGACUGGAAUUCCUGGUGUAGCGGUGAAAUGCGCAGAUAUCAGGAGGAACACCGGUGGCGAAGGCGGCCAUCUGGACGGAUACUGACGCUGAGACGCGAAAGCGUGGGGAGCAAACAGG
rnacentral:rRNA from 1 species